rnacentral:rRNA from 2 species
AUGGAGCAACACCGCGUGAGUGAAGAAGGGUUUCGGCUCGUAAAGCUCUGUUGUUGGAGAAGAACGUGCGUGAGAGUAACUGUUCACGCAGUGACGGUAUCCAACCAGAAAGUCACGGCUAACUACGUGCCAGCAGCCGCGGUAAUACGUAGGUGGCAAGCGUUAUCCGGAUUUAUUGGGCGUAAAGCGAGCGCAGGCGGUUGCUUAGGUCUGAUGUGAAAGCCUUCGGCUUAACCGAAGAAGGGCAUCGGAAACCGGGCGACUUGAGUGCAGAAGAGGACAGUGGAACUCCAUGUGUAGCGGUGGAAUGCGUAGAUAUAUGGAAGAACACCAGUGGCGAAGGCGGCUGUCUGGUCUGCAACUGACGCUGAGGCUCGAAAGCAUGGGUAGCGAACAGGAUUAGAUACCCUGGUAGUCCAUGCCGUAAACGAUGAGUGCUAGGUGUUGGAGGGUUUCCGCCCUUCAGUGCCGGAGCUAACGCAUUAAGCACUCCGCCUGGGGAGUACGACCGCAAGGUUGAAACUCAAAGGAAUUGACGGGGGCCCGCACAAGCGGUGGAGCAUGUGGUUUAAUACGAAGCUACGCGAAGAACCUUACCAGGUCUUGACAUCUUGCGCUAACCUAAGAGAUUAGGCGUUCCCUUCGGGGACGCAAUGACAGGUGGUGCAUGGUCGUCGUCAGCUCGUGUCG